rnacentral:rRNA from 1 species
UGGGUAGCCUGCCUCAAAGAGGGGAAUAGCCUCCCGAAAGGGAGAUUAAUACCGCAUAAUAUGUUUAAGUCGCAUGACUUUAACAUCAAAGGAUUUUCUUUUAGAAAUUCCACUUUGAGAUGGACCCGCGGCGCAUUAGCUAGUUGGUGAGGUAACGGCUCACCAAGGCAACGAUGCGUAGCCGACCUGAGAGAGUGAUCGGCCACAUUGGGACUGAGACACGGCCCAGACUCCG